rnacentral:piRNA from 1 species
UGAGUUUUUCUAGUUAGAUCUUUUGGCCCC